rnacentral:rRNA from 1 species
GACGAACGCUGGCGGCGUGCUUAACACAUGCAAGUCGAACGGAAAGGCCCUGCUUUUGUGGGGUGCUCGAGUGGCGAACGGGUGAGUAACACGUGAGUAACCUGCCCUUGACUUUGGGAUAACUUCAGGAAACUGGGGCUAAUACCGGAUAGGAGCUCCUGCUGCAUGGUGGGGGUUGGAAAGUUUCGGCGGUUGGGGAUGGACUCGCGGCUUAUCAGCUUGUUGGUGGGGUAGUGGCUUACCAAGGCUUUGACGGGUAGCCGGCCUGAGAGGGUGACCGGCCACCUUGGGACUGAGAUACGGCCCAGAAUCCUACGGGAGGCAGCAGUGGGGAAUAUUGCACAAUGGGCGGAAGCCUGAUGCAGCAACGCCGCGUGCGGGAUGACGGCCUUCGGGUUGUAAACCGCUUUCGCCUGUGACGAAGCGUGAGUGACGGUAAUGGGUAAAGAAGCACCGGCUAACUACGUG